UGAGGAAUAUUGCGCAAUGGGCGAAAGCCUGACGCAGCGACGCCGCGUGGAGGAUGAAGGUCUUCGGAUUGUAAACUUCUGUUAAGUGGGAAGAAAUAAGAGGCUUUAAUACAGCCUUAAGAUGACGGUACCACUAGAGAAAGCACCGGCUAACUUCGUGCCAGCAGCCGCGGUAAUACGAAGGGUGCGAGCGUUAUUCGGAUUUAUUGGGCGUAAAGGGUGCGCAGGCGGCGCGCUAAGUCAACUGUUAAAUCUCCCGGCCUAACCGGGAAUCAGCGGUAGAUACUGGCGUGCUAGAGGGUGGAAGAGAGAAGUGGAAUUCUUGGAGUAGCGGUAAAAUGCGUAGAUCUCAAGAGGAACACCGAUGGCGAAGGCAGCUUCUUGGUCCACAUCUGACGCUCAUGCACGAAAGCGUGGGGAGCAAACAGGAUUAGAUACCCGCGUAGUCC
rnacentral:rRNA from 1 species